CUGUGGUGUUUUUAGUGGCGGAAGUAGUUCUCAACGUAAACUUUGUUUUAAACUCCUCGUACCUUGAAUGGGAGGUAGCUGAAGCUGGGGAGCUUUCCUAGUUGUUGCUGGAAUAAUUUCACUAUGCUAAGCACUUUUAACAUAUAAGAAUUAUUACUCUAACUGCUCUAAAAAGUGGUGCAAAGAACGCAAUUGUUCUUGGACUAGAGAAGGAGAUCAUCAGACCCCAGGUUGUAGGCGAUCAAUGUCAUCCUGUAGUCCCCGAUGAAGAGUUGAUUUCAGUGAGAACCAAAUCGGAUGUUUCUAUCUUCGGCCUUGGAUACGAUGCUCAAAACAAGUGGACUUAUUCUGGCAAAAAGGCAACCCCCAUGUACCAAAGGAAACCAGUUGAAACCAAGAUGUCGUAGACUUCAAUAGUAUUAAUAUUUGUAGUCAAUUUUAUAACCAAAAUAUACCGUCAUUUACCAUCGA